rnacentral:rRNA from 1 species
UACGAAGGUCCCAAGCGUUGUUCGGAAUCACUGGGCGUAAAGGGAGCGUAGGCGGCGUGGUAAGUCAGAUGUGAAAUCCCGGGGCUCAACCCCGGAACUGCAUCCGAUACUGCCAUGCUUGAGGGUUGGAGAGGUAGCUGGAAUUCUCGGUGUAGCAGUGAAAUGCGUGGAUAUCGAGAGGAACACUCGUGGCGAAGGCGGGCUACUGGACAACAUCUGACGCUGAGGCUCGAAGGCCAGGGGAGCAAAAGGG